rnacentral:rRNA from 1 species
CCCUUAGAUGUUCUGGGCCGCACGCGCGCUACACUGAUGCAUUCAACGAGUCUAAAACCUGCUUUGAUAGGGGUGGGUAAUCUUUUGAAUGUGCAUCGUGAUUGGGAUAGAUGAUUGCAAUUUUUCAUCUUCAACGAGGAAUGCCUAGUAAACGCAAGUCAUCAGCUUGCAUUGAUUACGUCCCUGCCCUUUGUACACACCGCCCGUCGCUCCUACCGAUUGAAUGAUCCGAUGAAUAUCAUGGAUUGAGGAUGCAAGUAGGUUCGCCUAUCUUCAUCUUCGAGAAGUGAAGUAAAUCUUAUCAUUUAGAGGAAGGAGAAGUCGUAACA